AGCUCUAAAUCGACACUCCUUAGAGAGAGAGGCUCUACCUUCUCUUUAGAAAUUUUUUUUUCACCUCCUUGUGAGGUUUCUUUGCCUCCUCUGUGAGGGUUUCCCACCUCCUCGUGAGGGUCUCUAGGGGAGGAGGAAUGGAUAUUUUUCUUCUCCUCCUCCCUCUUUCCUCUUUUCUUCCUUUGUUUUCUGUUGAGUUGUUGUUCUUUUAGUUUUUUCCGACCAGGCCAAAAGCUUUGCCUAUUUCCGUUCCCUUCACUCAGCCUCUGUAGCUCCGUAACCAUCAACCAUGCUCACUGCCGCGCCGCUCAUCCUCUUCCCGGAGCUGUUGGUGUUUUUAAAUCUAGUUUUUUUCAAAAUUAGAUCUACUCUAUUCCACCAACUUCUUUUGCCCACGCACCUAUCCACCGUUCUCUCCGUCUUCCCAGCUCUCCGUCACCGCCCUACUUGCACCGUUCCAUCCACCACACGCCAGCACGUAGGUCCCACUCGCUAGAACGUGGAUCGCACUCACCAAAGCGUGUCUCCCAUGCACCGUCCAAUGAAUUUCGUCUUCCGUGCCCUAGUUAUUGUCUCCUUGUGCUGUAUUGGUUAGAUCCGGACGUGAAAACUUUUGUAACCAAAUUUGUGUUGCUACCUCUCUCUUCAACAUUCCUCGAUUCGGACUUUUACAAUGCAUCUUCAGCUUCAUCCUCCUUCUUGUGGAUGUUGCUGGUUUCAAGUGGGGAAUCAAAUAGGUUCACCUUAAUCUAUAUCUUUUUUGCUUUUGUAACUGCUUUGUGCGGUCCUUUGAGAGGAUCGGAUCAUUUGUUUGACCAAUUUCUUACAAUUUGUAAUUAUUUUUACACUGUUUUAAUUUGUUUUAAGUUUGUUGUUGGGAAGUCCA